UCUCCGUUGGUGAACCAGCGGAGGGAUCAUUACCGAGUUUACAACUCCCAAACCCAAUGUGAACCAUACCAAACUGCUGCCUCGGCGGGGUCACGCCCCGGGUGCGUCGCAGCCCCGGAACCAGGCGCCCGCCGGAGGGACCAACCAAACUCUUUCUGUAGUCCCCUCGCGGACGUUAUUUCUUACAGCUCUGAGCAAAAAUUCAAAAUGAAUCAAAACUUUCAACAACGGAUCUCUUGGUUCUG
rnacentral:misc_RNA from 1 species